rnacentral:rRNA from 1 species
UACGGAGGGUGCAAGCGUUAUCCGGAUUCACUGGGUUUAAAGGGUGCGUAGGUGGGCCCGUAAGUCAGUGGUGAAAUCUCCGAUCUUAACUCGGAAACUGCCAUUGAUACUAUAGGUCUUGAAUUAUCUGGAGGUUAGCGGAAUAUGUCAUGUAGCGGUGAAAUGCUUAGAUAUGACAUAGAACACCGAUUGCGAAGGCAGCUGGCUACAGGUAUAUUGACACUGAGGCACGAAAGCGUGGGGAUCAAACAGG